UACGUAGGGUGCAAGCGUUAAUCGGAAUUACUGGGCGUAAAGCGUGCGCAGGCGGUUUUGUAAGUCUGACGUGAAAUCCCCGGGCUCAACCUGGGAAUUGCGUUGGAGACUGCAAGGCUAGAAUCUGGCAGAGGGGGGUAGAAUUCCUCGUGUAGCAGUGAAAUGCGUAGAGAUGUGGAGGAACACCGAUGGCGAAGGCAGCCCCCUGGGUCAAGAUUGACGCUCAUGCACGAAAGCGUGGGGAGCAAACAGG
rnacentral:rRNA from 1 species